AUUGAACGCUGGCGGCAUGCUUUACACAUGCAAGUCGAACGGUAACAGGCCUUCGGGUGCUGACGAGUGGCGAACGGGUGAGUAAUGCAUCGGAACGUACCCAGAGGUGGGGGAUAACGCAGCGAAAGCUGUGCUAAUACUGCAUGUGAUCUGAGGAUGAAAGCGGGGGACUUAGCUGCAAUGUUUGACCUCGCGCCUUUGGAGCGGCCGCUGUCGGAUUAGCUAGUUGGGGGGGUAAAGGCCUACCAAGGCGACGAUCCGUAGCUGGUCUGAGAGGACGACCGGCAACACUGGGACUGAGACACGGCCCAGACUCCUACGGGAGGAAGCAGUGGGGAAUUUUGGACAAUGGGCGCAAGCCUGAUCCAGCAAUGCCGCGUGCGGGAAGAAGGCCUUCGGGUUGUAAACCGCUUUUGGCAGGAACGAAACGGUGUCCGCUAAUACCGGGCGCUAAUGACGGUACCUUCAGAAUAAGCACCGGCUAACUACGUG
rnacentral:rRNA from 1 species